rnacentral:rRNA from 1 species
UAAACAACCUGCCUUCAGGAUGGGGACAACAGACGGAAACGAACUGCUAAUACCGAAUAAGUUCCAAGAGCCGCAUGGCCCAUGGAAGAAAAGGUGGCCUCUACCUGUAAGCUAUCGCCUGAAGAGGGGUUUGCGUCUGAUUAGCUGGUUGGAGGGGUAACGGGCCCACCAAGGCGACGAUCAGUAGCCGGUCUGAGAGGAUGAACGGCCACACUGGAACUGAGACACGGUCCAGACUCCUACGGGAGGCAGCAUG